UACGGAGGAUGCGAGCGUUAUCCGGAUUUACUGGGUUUAAAGGGUGCGCAGGCGGUUGUUUAAGUCAGGGGUGAAAGCCCUAUGCUCAACAUAGGGAUUGCCUUUGAUACUGAACGGCUAGAGUGAAGAUGGAGUGGGUGGAAUGUGUUGUGUAGCGGUGAAAUGCGUAGAGAUCAGGAGGAACACCGAUGGCGAAGGCAGCCCCCUGGGCCUGUACUGACGCUCAUGCACGAAAGCGUGGGGAGCAAACAGG
rnacentral:rRNA from 1 species